rnacentral:rRNA from 1 species
GAGAAAGAAGGGGGGGCGUGCGAGGGGAAAGGUGGGGGGGAAGGGGUGACCGGAAUUAGUGGGGGGCAAGGGGGGCUAGGGGGGGGCUUAAGGUGGGGGUGAAAGGCCCUGGCUCAACGGGGGGGGGGCGGUGGGAACUGGGGUCCUAGAGGGUAGGGGAGGGGGGUGGAAUUCCCGGUGGAGUGGUGAAAUGCGUAGAGAUCGGGAGGAACACCAGUGGCGAAGGCGGCCCCCUGGCCUGCAACUGACGCUGAAGCGCGAGAGCGUGGGGAGCAAACGGGAUUAGAUACCCCAGUAGUC